ensembl:lncRNA
CGUAAAUAAAGACGAAGAGAAUCAAACGAUCUCCUGUCAUUCUCAUAAGGAAACAAAGUCACGUGUCUGCAGCUCAGUGCAGCUUAAUGACAAACAACAGGAAGGAACAACGACACAACCUCGGUUUAAACUUCUGGGGGAAACGGACCGGCCGACGGGAGGGGGGCUGCUGACGCGCGCUCUGUAUCCGCGCUCUCUGCUGGUCAGCUGCAGCUUCACGCUGUGUGUUUCUCCGUCGCUCUGGAGACGCCGGCGGUUCACCACCACAACCACCAGAGGUCUCAGAUCCUGCAGAGGAGAGAGGACCACAGGCAUCAUCAAGUGUGGAGGAAACCUUUUUACGGAAGCAGUGAGAGAGAAGAGCACAGGUACUCCGUUACGCUCCAUUACAUCACUGCAACAACUUCUCACCUACAAACUCACCUCCGGACCAGACAAACUUCACACGACUGUACAGAGUGUA